CAGUAGCUCAAUGGAUAGAGCAACGGACUUCGGAUCCGUGGGUUGCAGGUUCGACUCCUGUUUGGCG
rnacentral:tRNA from 1 species